AUACCGGCUGCUCGAGUGAUGGCCACUAUUACUGGGUUUAAAGCGUCCGUAGCUUGACUGUUAGGUCUCUUGGGGAAUCUUUUGGCUUAACCAAAAGGCGUCUAAGAGAUACCGGCAUUCUUGGAACUGGGAGAGGUAAGCCGUACUUCGGGGGUAGGAGUGAAAUCUUGUAAUCCUCGAGGGACGACCUAUGGCGAAGGCAGCUUACCAGAACAGCUUCGACAGUGAGGGACGAAAGCUGGGGGAGCAAACGGGAUUAGAUUCCCCGGUAGUCCCAGCCGUAAACAAUGUGCGUUAGGUGUGUCGGUUACCACGCGUAACUGAUGCGCCGAAGAGAAAUCGUGAAACGCACCACCUGGGAAGUACGGUCGCAAGGCUGAAACUUAAAGGAAUUGACGGGG
rnacentral:rRNA from 1 species